CUUCCUUUCACUCCAACGGGGACUCUGUUCUUUCCCUGUUUUCUCUUCUUCUUCGGUGAAGAAGAAGAAGAAGAGAGCGUCAUACAAACAAAUGGGAUCUCUCUUUGAAGAUGUUCUCUUCGCCACCGACCAAGAAAAAUAGCAAAAAGUUUCGAGCUUUACUUAGUUCAUGGAGGAUCGAUCUUCCUUCACACCCGGACCCGCCUUCGAUCACGAAAACCAAGGAGACUAACUAGUAACUACCGUGGAGUCGAGUUACAGGAAGUAUGCAACCAUUCGCGCGCUGGCGCUUUUGAUUUACGAGAAAUCUGGUCUGUUGGUUUCUCGUGUCUUUCACCGAUGGUGUUUUUUCCUUUUCAACUGGCCUGUCUGUUUUACGAGUUCCCCCCUGAUUUUCUUUGAGCAGGCCAAAAUGGAAGAGCUUGUCGUGCCUUUAUUUGGGUUUUAUUAGAGAGCAUCUUUUGGAUAAGUUAUUGGUCAGAAGAAGAUAUUGAAGAAGUAAUGUUUGUCUUCCAUGAUCGUUUUGAUUCGUUCGUUCUACUUGUUGGGAAAUUAGUUGCCAAGAUGAAGCAGCAGAGGCUGCAUUGCGCCCGUCCUUCGAUGGGAAACUAGGCGAAAGAAUGUCGGGUAUAUUUCCUGCAGGUCUUUCCUUUUCUUUCUCAGAUAUUUUUCUUGUCAAACGUGAAGUUUUGAAGCUGAGAAUAUGAGCCCAAGAGAGGCUUCGAUGCAUUAUUCAUAAUGGUACAUAUUGGCCUUCCAUUAAAACUC